CAGUGUUUGAAAAAGACAUCAUUAGAAGACUGUCUGCAAACACUCUGGACAUCUGGACGAGAUAUUGUGCGGUUAGAUAUCUAGCUGGCAAUUCACUGUACAGACUAAGCUGGCCUCAGAGUGACCGUGGUCCUCCUACACCUGCUUUCCGAGUGCUGGACGUGCAGUCAGUGGCCGAGAACCUGGCUUUAGUGGACGUUUGUUUAUACUUUGGAGACAGGUUUUUACUACGUAGCCCGGGAGCUUGGAACGUUUGAUCUCCCUGCCUCAGUUCCCCUCCGACCAUAACCUCCCUCCUGCAGAGAUUACAGAAAGCUUCAGUGGAAACUCAAAUGCCCAGGUUCAAAUCCAACCUCCACCACUGGUUGAACUGUGUGACAUUAAGUAAAUGGCUUAUUCUCCUGAUGCCUCAUCUUUAUCUGUACAGUGGAGACAAUGAUGAUAAACAAUGAUGGUGAUGGUAGUGAUGUAACUUGGAAUUCAGUGUUUUAGAGAUCUCUGGGAUGGCAGCAAGAGAUUUGCAGACCCAAUGUCCAGUGAAACCGUCUUAACUGCUGGACAGGGGAAUUGUUGGAAAGGAGAGAACAGUCAUCAGGCCGUUGGUGGAGGCCAACAGCUGGGCUGUGAUGUAAUAGAGAAGGACAACUGAACAGAGUCAGAAAAGGAGACAAAGAGCUCUGCUGAAGCCACCGCCAUCCCAGGGUAGCAGCACAUGCCAAGGUUUACACAGAGGAGCCCCAGCAAGGGUAAGAUGUCAUGGAGACUGGAGCCAAGUCAGUGAACAGGUAAGAGAGGAGAAGUCCCGUAAAGGCGGGAGAGGGCAGUAUCUGGAAUUUCUCUUGUCAUCUGUUUUACUUAAAAGAUCUUGUCUGCAAAAGGUAAAGGGAGCGGGGAGAGGAAGGAGGAAAAAGGAAAAACUAGAAGACAGGUAAAUAUGUGAACAGGUGGAACAGUGCGGCUCAUACACAGAAAACACGGAACACAGCUGGCCAGUAAGGGGCCUAAUGUCAAAUUCUACAGCUACUUCGAAACAGCCAUUAUAUAGUCGUUUUUUAAAAAGCCAGGUGGAGGUGGCGCACACCUUUAAUCCCAGCACUCAGGAGGCAGAGCCUGGUGGAUCUCUGUGAGUUCAAGGCCAGCCUGGUCUACAGAGUGAGAUCCAGAACAGGCACCAAAACAACACAGGGAAACCCUGUCUCGAAAACACACACACACACACACACACACACACACACACACACACACACACACACACACACACAACAACAACAACAACAACAACAAAAGAAAUGAAACAAUGCUUAAGUAAACCAAUCAAAAUGUCUCAUCAGCGAAUGCGGGUAAAUAGACAAAAUUAAAAGACAGUAACCAAAUACGGUUGAAGAGUCCUAUGGAGAUGAAAGUCCGUCCCUAGACAGAUGAAGGGUGAAUUAUUUUAAUAUACCUCUGUCUGUCUAUUUUUAGAGGCAGAGUCUAGUGGGAAGGACUUUGCAACAUAAAGAACAGAAAACAACAGCAGAAGUAAUAGUGGAGAAAGAGAAGAGAAUCUCAGAGAAACAUGGACCAGCACUGUGUACGAGAACACACACACAACACGAAUAUCAGAAGGGAAGGCACAGCAACCCAGACAGGAAAAGAUGCCCAAAGCAAUGGAGGCUGAAAGUAGACUGAGUCUGAUUAAAUCAAUCUAGAUGACUCAAAACCCAAUACGUCAGAACCAUAAAGCAAAGAGCCCAACAAAGAGAUAUACAAUACAUUAAAAUGUUUAAAUAAAAGACAAGAAGAGGGCUAAAAUGUGAAAGGGGCUUGCCGCCAAGCCUGACAACCUGAGUGCAUCCCUGGUCACCACAUGGGAGAGGAGAGAAGUGACUCCCACAGUUGUCCUUUGAUCACUGAUGUGUGGGCAGUAACAUACAUGCUGAGUAACACAUGCGUGCACACAUGCACACACACACACACACACACACACACACACACAUAAAUGGAAUAACUACAAAAAUUUAAAAGUCGAGAAGAAAAUAUUGAAAGUGGUAAGAAAAAAAAAACCCACCCUACAUGGAAAAUAACCCUACUGAGCCUUCUAUCUUACUACUUCUUAGAAAGAUGGCGGCCAGGUGCACGAUGUGGUGGGAUGACAUGAUCAGGGUAUCAGAGAAACUGCCAACCAAGAGUCUUGUCCAGUAAAGUUGUCUUUUACAAAUAAAGGCAAAAUAAAGACAAAGAUAGAAAGGAUUUCUUCUCUCAGACAUUCCUUAGUAGGAACUAUAAAAGAAGUUUUUUAGGCCAGAGGUGAGAGAAAGUAACGUCAACCCUCACCAAAUCAAAGAAGCAGACACUGGCAAACACCAUCAUGUAUUGUUCUUGGGAUAUAGUUCAGUUGGUAGACUAGUUGCCUAGCAUGCGCAAAGCCCUGGGUUCGAUCCCUAGCAUGGAAUAAACAAAGAGUGCUGGUGCUCACCUACAAUAUCAGCACUGGGGAGGUAGAGCCAAGAGGAUCAAUUAUGAUGCUUAAUAAUUAUAGCAAUGUAUUUCUGGGUUUGUGAUAUAUAUGAUUAUAAUGUACAUAAAAAUAAUAUCACCGCCUUUAAUCCCAGCACUCAGGAGACAGAGGCAGGUGCAUCUCUGUGAGAUCAAGACGGCCUGGUCUACAGAGCAAGUUCCAGAACAGCCAAGGUUACACAGAGAAACCCUGUCUCAAAAAACAAAACAAAAUAAUAGUAGUAGUAGUAGUAGUAGUAGUAGUAGUAGUAGUAGUAGUAGUAAUGCUGCAGAAAGAGAAAGGAAGUGGCUAUGUAAAUAAACCAUACUUUUAAAUAUCACUGAAAUUAAGUGUAAAUCUAACUGUGGUGCUUUGAAUGAGAAUGGCCUCUGUGGAGUGGGCCCAUAGGCCCAUAUCUAAAUGCUUGGUCAUUAGAGAGUGAUGCUAUUUGACAGGGAUUAGGAGGUGUGGCCUUGUUGGAGUAGGUGUGGCCUUGUUGGAGGAAGUGUGCCACUGUGCUAGGCUUUGGAGUUUCAAAUGCUCAAGUCAAAAUUAAAUGUGAUAGAUUGAACAGAGAGAUCAGAAUAGAUGCAAAAAAUAUGUUGCCCACAGGAAACACACUUUAGGUGCAGUGGGUAUGGCCUUGUUGGAGAAAGUGUGUUGUUGUGGGGGCAGGGUCUGAGGUUUCCUAUGAUCAGGAUACUGACCAGUGUCUGAAUUGACUUCCUGUUGCCUGCAAGAUGUAGGACUCUCAGCUACUUCUCCAGUACCAUAUCUAUCUGCACACCACCUUGCUCCCCACCAUGUGGAUAAUGGACUGAGCCUCUGAAACUAUAAAUAUUUUAAAUAUUUUCCUUUAUAAGAGUUGCCAUGGACAUGGUGUCUCUUCAUAGCAAUAGAAACCUUAACUAAGACAACACUCAUGAUUUAAAAAGAAAGAAAGAGAGGAGAGAAAGAGAGAAAGACAGACAGACAGCAGGAAAAAAAUGAAAGAAAGAAAGGAAAGGAAGGA